UACAGAGGGUGCAAGCGUUGCUCGGAUUUACUGGGCGUAAAGCGUACGCAGACGGCAAGGCAGGUCGGAUGUGAAAGCCCCGGGCUCAACCCGGGAAAUGCAUCCGAAACCUCCUUGCUCGAGUAUGAGAGAGGGAAGCGGAAUUCCUGGUGUAGAGGUGAAAUUCGUAGAUAUCAGGAGGAACACCAGUGGCGAAGGCGGCGAUCUGGGAAGAUACUGACGCUGAGGUGCGAAAGCGUGGGGAGCAAACAGG
rnacentral:rRNA from 1 species